rfam:Schistosoma mattheei strain Denwood, Zambia genome assembly, scaffold: SMTD_scaffold0016726
AUCCAGCUGAUGAGUCCCAAAAUAGGAAGAAACGCACGUCAAACUGGAU